rnacentral:misc_RNA from 1 species
GUGAAGAACGUAGCGAAAUGCGAUAAGUAAUGUGAAUUGCAGAAUUCAGUGAAUCAUCGAAUCUUUGAACGCACAUUGCGCCCGCCAGUAUUCUGGCGGGCAUGCCUGUUCGAGCGUCAUUUCAACCAUCAAGCCCCCGGGCUUGUGUUGGGGUCCUGCGGCUGCCGCAGGCCCUGAAAAGCAGUGGCGGGCUCGCUGUCACACCGAGCGUAGUAGAUUUUAUCUCGCUCAGGGCGUGCUGCGGGUUCCGGCCGUUAAACCACCUUCAUAACCCAAGGUUGACCUCGGAUCAGGUAGGAAGACCCGCUGAACUUAAGCAUAUCAAUAAGCGGAGGA